GGUAGAUGGGAGGAUGGAUGGCAGGCUGCAGUGGUCCCUGGUCCAGGCACAGCCUCAGGAAGCACUGUCUGGGAGCAAAGGAGCAGCACUGUGAGCCUUGCUCACCAACCACCUUUUUAUAUUGCACAGAGCUCUGAAUGAUGGGGCAGAAAUUGUUCAGUGAAGAGAGAGCGAAGAAGGCACUUGGAUAUCACUGAGACAGCUGCUUUCAAGAGAAGAGUAAUUUGUCUAAUACACAAUCUGUCACCCUCCAUUCGUGCUGGAAAAGUGAGGAGCUGCUGGAAACUAACCACACAUAUGGUGACAUUGCUCCAUCAUUAGCUUGGGGCUCUCCCUACAGCAACAGAAAUUUUAUGGUGGCUCUCCCAAAGAUGCCUGAGGACCACUGCAUAAAUAUUAAUGGGAAAGGGGGGUCUGGGUCCUCCUGACAGCACUGAAAUACUCAACCCCACUGGACAGAGGCUCAUGCACAGCAGUUUUGAGUUUUAUAAACUGCUCCUGGCAAAGGGAACCAACUCUCCUGCCAGCUCUGACAAGAGAGAUUGACAGGGCUCCUGCACAAAGCAAGAAGGACAGAUGAAGGAGAGGAGAAAGCAAAGCU
rnacentral:lncRNA from 1 species